rnacentral:rRNA from 1 species
GAUGAACGCUGGCGGCGUGCCUAAUACAUGCAAGUCGAGCGAACAGAUGAGGAGCUUGCUCCUCUGACGUUAGCGGCGGACGGGUGAGUAACACGUGGAUAACCUACCUAUAAGACUGGGAUAACUUCGGGAAACCGGAGCUAAUACCGGAUAAUAUAUUGAACGCAUGGGUUAAUAGUGAAAGACGGUUUUGCUGUCACCUAUAGAUGGAUCCGCGCCGCAUUAGCUAGUUGGUAAGGUAACGGCUUACCAAGGCAACGAUGCGUAGCCGACCUGAGAGGGUGAUCGGCCACACUGGAACUGAGACACGGUCCAGACUCCUACGGGAGGCAGCAGUAGGGAAUCUUCCGCAAUGGGCGAAAGCCUGACGGAGCAACGCCGCGUGAGUGAUGAAGGUCUUCGGAUCGUAAAACUCUGUUAUUAGGGAAGAACAAAUGUGUAAGUAACUAUGCACGUCUUGACGGUACCUAAUCAGAAAGCCACGGCUAACUACGUG